GUACACAAAAAUGCACAUAUUGUGAGCUCGAUGAGUAGGGCGGGACACGUGGUAUCCUGUCUGAAUAUGGGGGGACCAUCCUCCAAGGCUAAAUACUCCUGACUGACCGAUAGUGAACCAGUACCGUGAGGGAAAGGCGAAAAGAACCCCGGCGAGGGGAGUGAAAAAGAACCUGAAACCGUGUACGUACAAGCAGUGGGAGCCUCUUUAUGGGGUGACUGCGUACCUUUUGUAUAAUGGGUCAGCGACUUAUAUUCUGUAGCAAGGUUAACCGAAUAGGGGAGCCGAAGGGAAACCGAGUCUUAACUGGGCGUUAAGUUGCAGGGUAUAGACCCGAAACCCGGUGAUCUAGCCAUGGGCAGGUUGAAGGUUGGGUAACACUAACUGGAGGACCGAACCGACUAAUGUUGAAAAAUUAGCGGAUGACUUGUGGCUGGGGGUGAAAGGCCAAUCAAACCGGGAGAUAGCUGGUUCUCCCCGAAAGCUAUUUAGGUAGCGCCUCGUGAAUUCAUCUCCGGGGGUAGAGCACUGUUUCGGCAAGGGGGUCAUCCCGACUUACCAACCCGAUGCAAACUGCGAAUACCGGAGAAUGUUAUCACGGGAGACACACGGCGGGUGCUAACGUCCGUCGUGAAGAGGGAAACAACCCAGACCGCCAGCUAAGGUCCCAAAGUCAUGGUUAAGUGGGAAACGAUGUGGGAAGGCCCAGACAGCCAGGAUGUUGGCUUAGAAGCAGCCAUCAUUUAAAGAAAGCGUAAUAGCUCACUGGUCGAGUCGGCCUGCGCGGAAGAUGUAACGGGGCUAAACCAUGCACCGAAGCUGCGGCAGCGACACUAUGUGUUGUUGGGUAGGGGAGCGUUCUGUAAGCCUGUGAAGGUGGCCUGUGAGGGUUGCUGGAGGUAUCAGAAGUGCGAAUGCUGACAUAAGUAACGAUAAAGCGGGUGAAAAGCCCGCUCGCCGGAAGACCAAGGGUUCCUGUCCAACGUUAAUCGGGGCAGGGUGAGUCGACCCCUAAGGCGAGGCCGAAAGGCGUAGUCGAUGGGAAACAGGUUAAUAUUCCUGUACUUGGUGUUACUGCGAAGGGGGGACGGAGAAGGCUAUGUUGGCCGGGCGACGGUUGUCCCGGUUUAAGCGUGUAGGCUGGUUUUCCAGGCA
rnacentral:rRNA from 1 species